GGCUGGUCGGAAGGUAGUAAGUCUCACUACCUUCAAUCUCACUUGAUUGUUCAGUUACAGAUUGAACUCCUUGUUCUACUCUUUCCCCUUUCUCACUACUGCACUUGAACUAGUCUUUA
ensembl:misc_RNA Y_RNA Y RNA